AUCUCAUGGUGAGGACACUACUUUAACAAUUCCUUGAAUCUCUCCCAUGCAUCAAACAAAUAAUCAUCAUCUCCUUGCCUAAAUGAAGUAAUCUCACUCCUCGUCAU